rnacentral:rRNA from 1 species
GACGAACGCUGGCGGCGUGCUUAACACAUGCAAGUCGAACGGAAAGGCCCUGCUUUUGUGGGGUGCUCGAGUGGCGAACGGGUGAGUAACACGUGAGUAACCUGCCCUUGACUUUGGGAUAACUUCAGGAAACUGGGGCUAAUACCGGAUAGGAGCUCCUGCUGCAUGGUGGGGGUUGGAAAGUUUCGGCGGUUGGGGAUGGACUCGCGGCUUAUCAGCUUGUUGGCGGGGUAGUGGCUUACCAAGGCUUUGACGGGUAGCCGGCCUGAGAGGGUGACCGGCCAAAUUGGGACUGAGAUACGGCCCAGACUCCUACGGGAGGCAGGAGUGGGGAAUAUUGCACCAUGGGCGGAAGCCUGAUGCAGCAACGCCGCGUGCGGGAUGACGGCCUUCGGGUUGUAAACCGCUUUCGCCUGUGACGAAGCGUGAGUGACGGUAAUGGGUAAAGAAGCACCGGCUAACUACGUG